CGGACAACACCACGAGGGCGCCUGCCGGACCUGCAGAUUCUCGCAUAGUCAAGGCCCUGAGCCACCAUGCCCUGCCCCUCGGUGACUUCAUCCACGACGACUCCAGCAACAGUCUUCGAGCCUGCUACCACGAAUUGGUUGCUCAGUCCAGAGCUUUUCUCCCAACUUCUGUACAUCAGGCAGACGUGUUUGUUCAGAUUUUCCUUCAUUGCGAUUUGUGCACACAACCCUGUUUGUUGAAAUGACUACCUGCUAAUCCUCUCAUGCACAUGGAAAAUACUUCUCCAGGUUAGAUUGGAGGGUUAAUCAUUUCAUUCAAGGAGUUCUUUGUUGUUCAUGAGGUGCUUUUCCACUCGCCAAUCCUCUCUGUUGAACCAGCAUGUCUUCUUUGUCACAGAGAUCGGCCGCCCCAAAACAAGUGUUGGAAGACAUGUAUAUGGUAUCGCACCUAUUGCCAUUCACAUCAAUUCCUUGCCUCGAUCUAGAGGGAAGAUGAGCCAUGGCCUUCUGCUUUCAUCGAGCAUGCACAUUGCCUACUCUGGUGUUGAUUAUCGCCAAGGCGCUGCACGAUGUCUUUGAAGUAUUAGAAGUUGGCAUUGAAGAAAUAUUGGCCGAGAAUUCUGGAUUUCGGUUGCCUUUUGCUACUGAUACUUAUUCAUCGGUUCCUUCAGUUGUUCCACCUGUUAUAUUCAUGGUCUGGUUAGUUCUCAAGUACAUGCUACUUUCGAACCAUCAGCUGAUCAUGCGCCUUACGGUUUCAUGUAGGCACUUAACACUUGAUGUGGCUGAGGAAGGUUGAAGGGCUACAAAAGAAAAAGGUAGGUAUAGUGGAGCACUAAUCCUGGAGAGAGUUUGGAUUUGUUUUGGCCAACCUUAGGAAAGUGUCCGGAUUGCAGUGAUAACAAGGAAAAAACUGAAGGCCAUCUAAUACAAUACCUCAAAGAGUAGCACCUAUAAAAACAAGAAGGCAUCCAAGUAGAAAGCUUCACGCUACCAGCAAAUUAAACAACGAAGUAUCAUCUGUAGCAACAAACGAGGUUAGCCGAAGAAGUGAACAAGUAUCCAGACUGGUGAUCUAUAUCAAAAUAUCUAUUAUGUCAAUGCCAGCCACCAAAAUUACAUGGCAAAUGUUAUUUGCCUACCUGUCACUAUAGGAAGUAUGAACACUGCUGACUUCGAUAAAAUUAUCUAUAAACACCACCAGUGUAUUGGUAGUAUUAAGCACUUGAGUACCCCUGUGUAAUUACUCCAACUGCCUGCCUUCGUUCAUGCCAAUUUAGUCAUCA